rnacentral:rRNA from 1 species
GACGAACGCUGGCGGCGUGCUUAACACAUGCAAGUCGAACGGAAAGGCCCUGCUUUUGUGGGGUGCUCGAGUGGCGAACGGGUGAGUAACACGUGAGUAACCUGCCCUUGACUUUGGGAUAACUUCAGGAAACUGGGGCUAAUACCGGAUAGGAGCUCCUGCUGCAUGGUGGGGGUUGGAAAGUUUCGGCGGUUGGGGAUGGACUCGCGGCUUAUCAGCUUGUUGGUGGGGUAGUGGCUUACCAAGGCUUUGACGGGUAGCCGGCAUGAGAGGGUGACCGGCGACAUUGGGACUGAGAUACGGCGCAGAGUCCAACGGGAGGCAGCAGUGGGGAAUAUUACACAAUGGGCGGAAGCCUGAUGCAGCAACGCCGCGUGCGGGAUGACGGCCUUGGUGUUGUAAACCGCUUUCGCCUGUGACGAAGCGUGAGUGACGGUAAUGGGUAAAGAAGCACCGGCUAACUACGUG